GGUUAAGCGACUAAGCGUACACGGUGGAUGCCCUGGCAGUCAGAGGCGAUGAAGGACGUGCUAAUCUGCGAUAAGCGUCGGUAAGGUGAUAUGAACCGUUAUAACCGGCGAUUUCCGAAUGGGGAAACCUAGUGUGUUUCGACACACUAUCAUUAACUGAAUCCAUAGGUUAAUGAGGCGAACCGGGGGAACUGAAACAUCUAAGUACCCCGAGGAAAAGAAAUCAACCGAGAUUCCCCCAGUAGCGGCGAGCGAACGGGGAGCAGCCCAGAGCCUGAAUCAGUGUGUGUGUUAGUGGAAGCGUCUGGAAAGGCGCGCGAUACAGGGUGACAGCCCCGUACACAAAAAUACACAU
rnacentral:rRNA from 1 species